rnacentral:rRNA from 1 species
UACAGAGGUGGCAAGCGUUGUUCGGAAUUACUGGGCGUAAAGGGCGCGUAGGCGGCCCCGCAAGUCACUUGUGAAAUCUCUGGGCUUAACCCAGAACGGCCAAGUGAAACUGCAGGGCUAGAGUGUAGAAGGGGCAAUCGGAAUUCUUGGUGUAGCGGUGAAAUGCGUAGAUAUCAAGAGGAACACCUGAGGUGAAGACGGGUUGCUGGUCUAACACUGACGCUGAGGCGCGAAAGCCAGGGGAGCAAACGGG